rnacentral:rRNA from 1 species
UACGUAGGGUGCAAGCGUUGUCCGGAAUUAUUGGGCGUAAAGAGCUCGUAGGCGGUCUGUCGCGUCGGAUGUGAAAAAUCAGGGCUCAACCCUGGACCUGCAUUCGAUACGGGCAGACUAGAGUUCGGUAGGGGAGACUGGAAUUCCUGGUGUAGCGGUGAAAUGCGCAGAUAUCAGGAGGAACACCGGUGGCGAAGGCGGGUCUCUGGGCCGAAACUGACGCUGAGGAGCGAAAAGCGUGGGGGAGCAAACAGG